AUCUUUGUGUUGAUGGAGGUUAGUUCCAGAGUUCAUGCAGGGACUCCUCGUCUAUUGUUCUUUGCAAAUAGACAAGAUUUUGAAUCACCUCAGUUUGUUACUGUAACAGGUAUGCAACCACGAGUCUCGGUGUGUUAAUAUUUUGUUUGGUCUUUUCAUUAAUCAAACUUUACUAGUGUGGUAUCUAAGGGGGUGUUUUAUAGGUUCUUAAAUUUCUAUUUUGGUCUGUUCGAGAGUUCAUAACUAGGUUAACUAACAAAAUGAUGUUGUGAUAGUUAACCUAUAUCUUAGUAUCUUUAUGUUUUUGCUUUAACGGGUUAGGUUAAACAUAUGUUUUAUUUGUUCAGUAAAUUAGAAACCAAGUUUGAACUUGAAACUAAUAAGAAAUCAAAUUAAAACAUUGAUGUGGCAUUUACACCUAGCAGUCUAGUUCAAUUAGUAUAAAGUUUGUUAUUAUCAACUUCAAGAGAUCACCGUAAGUGUUUCUUCUUAUGUUUUAGUUGUAAUCUUAAAUCGUUCAAAAUUCAGAAUAAUAAACUUACACAGAGUUUUCAAUUGUAUUCAAACUUGAUUGAUUGCUUGAAGAAAUUUGUAGCCGUGUUAAUUUUUCAUGUGCAAAUUUACAAUACACCUUUUGAUUACUAAAAUAUUUUGACAUAUGUUAGUUGGUAGAUAGUUGGUAACAUUCAAGACAUUUGUUUGGUUCAUGGAAUUUAUUUUUGCACCCUCGCAAAUCCUUAACAAAAAUGAUGAACAAACGUUAGCACUUACAUCUUGUUAAACUAUCAAUGCAACCAUCAAAAUAGUUUUUUUUUUUUUUUUUAAACGUAGACAAUGGAUUGUUGAUAUUUUAAAAUUUUGAUCACCAAUGGAAGUUCAUUUAUAAAUGAGUUUUGUCUUCUUUAUUAGAACUUUUUUUUAUAAAUAUUGUAGAAACGUGUAUAAUGAUAAUUAUAAAUAAAAUAUCAAAAUAAAUUAAGAAAAAUUUAGGCAAUUUGUUGUAUUUUUUAUUUACAAAAUUAAUCUAAAGACCUAUUUCUCUCCUAAUCUCAAAGUACUCUAACCCUUGAAUAAUAUUAUUCAUAUAAAUAAAAAUAUUAAUUUUUUUUAUUUAAUGAUAUUAUUAAGUUGGUAAAAAUUUUAUAUUUGAUGUAACUAAAUUUCUGAUUACCUUUGAAAUUUCAAAAUUUUAGUAUAACAUAACUAAAUUUCUGAUUACCUUUGAAAUUUCAAAAUUUUAGUAUAACAUUGUAAUCAUUAUAUAUUAAAAUACUAUGCUAUGAGAGUGAAAUGUUAGCAAAGUUGCAUUAUCUUAAAUAUGGAUGGAUUCAUUUUAAUCCAUGUAAAGAGAUUUUUUUAGUACAUAUAGAGGGAUUUACUAAUUAUUUUGAAUGUAAUAAUCUAAUAUGUUUAUGAUAGUAAUAGAGGGUUAAAGCUUUAGAUGGUAAAGUGAGAACACUAAAUCUGAUGUAGUAAAAUAGUAUAACACAAUCAACCACAUAGAACAAAUUGGAAGAAUAACUGAACUAUAAAAACUAAAUGGCUUAUUUUACAAAAACAAACUAAACUGAAAUCAAGUCAUAAACAAUUUCAUAAUACAACCAUUAAUAUGAAUCCUCCUGGUGGUGAUAAUCCAUAAAAAGAAUCGCAUCUUCUAAGCAUAGAAAGAAUAGGUAGUAAAUUAAAAGAAGGGCAUAUAUGAGCAUCUUGACUUUUGAGGCAACCAAAAUUGACGUAGCACUUGCAAAAAAGGCAUAUCUAACAUUUAUGAAAUAUUGAGCAAAGGAACUUUCUCAUAUUGGAAAAUGUUGAAUGUUAGGGUGCAAUAAUGACUGUGACACUGCCUGCUGUAACUGUGAUAUCUGGAAACAGCCACCUCUUUGUGUGCAAUGCUGCCAAGAGCCUUGACAAUCUCUACAAUACUAAACUAUGACUUCAAUUGGAUUCAAUAUAACCUCUUCUACAAAC
rnacentral:lncRNA from 1 species